UACGUAGGGUGCGAGCGUUAAUCGGAAUUACUGGGCGUAAAGCGUGCGCAGGCGGUUCGUUAAGUUCGAUGUGAAAGCCCCGGGCUCAACCUGGGAACUGCAUUGGAAACUGGCGAGCUUGAGUAUGGCAGAGGGGGGUGGAAUUCCGCGUGUAGCAGUGAAAUGCGUAGAGAUGCGGAGGAACACCGAUGGCGAAGGCGGCGACCUGGGUAGAUACUGACGCUGAGGCGCGAAAGCGUGGGGAGCAAACAGG
rnacentral:rRNA from 1 species